rnacentral:lncRNA from 1 species
AAGAUCACUAAGGUCUUUUCCGGUUGUAGCUUGGUUAGGUUUACAAACAAGGGUCAUAUCUAAGACCAUUGAAAACGAAAUUGCCGAUGCAAAAGAGACAUUCACUGUACAAGCUAUUCACACAUCUCAACUUCGUUUCACUUGUUUCUCAUUUGAAACCUUCACAACUCUUAUUUCACAACUCAAUUUUUGUUUUUCACUAUUUUUCUUCCAAGCAAGCA